rnacentral:rRNA from 1 species
GAUGAACGCUGGCGGCGUGCCUAAUACAUGCCAGUCGAGCGAACGGACGAGAAGCUUGCUUCUCUGAUGUUAGCGGCGGACGGGUGAGGAACACGUGGAUAACCUACCUAUAAGACUGGGAUAACUUCGGGAAACCGUAGCUAAUACCGGAUAAUAUUUUGAACCGCAUGGUUCAAAAGUGAAAGACGGUCUUGCUGUCACUUAUAGAUGGAUCCGCGCUGCAUUAGCUAGUUGGUAAGGUAACGGCUUACCAAGGCAACGAUGCAUAGCCGACCUGAGAGGGUGCUCGGCCACACUGGAACUGAGACACGGUCCAGACUCCUACGGGAGGCAGCAGUAGGGAAUCUUCCGCAAUGGGCGAAAGCCUGACGGAGCAACGCCGCGUGAGUGAUGAAGGUCUUCGGAUCGUAAAACUCUGUUAUUAGGGAAGAACAUAUGUGUAAGUAACUGUGCACAUCUUGACGGUACCUAAUCAGAAAGCCACGGCUAACUACGUG